rnacentral:rRNA from 1 species
UAAGGAGGAGGCAAGCGUUAUCCGGAAUUAUUGGGCGUAAAGCGUCCGUAGGUGGUUGGCCAAGUCUGAUGUCAAAGGGUGGGGCUUAACCUCAUAAAGGCAGUGGAAACUGGCGAGCUAGAGGGCGGUAGGGGUAGGGGGAAUUCCCAGUGUAGCGGUGAAAUGCGUAGAGAUUGGGAAGAGCAUCGGUGGCGAAAGCGCCCUGCGGGGCCUGCCCUGACAAUGAGGGACGAAAGCUAGGGGAGCGAAAGGG